CAGUGGUGAAAGUUUUCAGCUUAACUGGAAAAAUGCCAUUGAUACUGUCAGGCUAGAAUAUGGUUGCUGUGAGUGGAAUGUGUGGUGUAGCGGUGAAAUGCUUAGAUAUCACACAGAAUAUCGAUUGCGAAGGCAGCUCACAAAGCCAUUAUUGACGCUGAGGCACGAAAGUGUGGGGAUCAAACAGGAUUAGAUACCCUGGUAGUCCACACUGUAAACGAUGAUAACUAGUUGUUGGCGAUACACAGUCAGUGACCAAGCGAAAGCGAUAAGUUAUCCACCUGGGGAGUACGACCGCAAGGUUGAAACUCAAAGGAAUUGACGGGGGCCCGCACAAGCGGAGGAACAUGUGGUUUAAUUCGAUGAUACGCGAGGAACCUUACCCGGGCUCGAACGGUGCAGGAAUAUGGUAGAGAUAUCAUAGCUAGCAAUAGUCUGUAUCGAGGUGCUGCAUGGUUGUCGUCAGCUCGUGCCGUGAGGUGUCGGCUUAAGUGCCAUAACGAGCGCAACCCUUGUCGUUAGUUGCCAUCAGGUCAAGCUGGGAACUCUAACGAGACUGCCACCGUAAGGUGUGAGGAAGGGGGGGAUGACGUCAAAUCAGCACGGCCCUUACGUCCGGGGCGACACACGUGUUACAAUGGUAGGUACAGAGGGCCGCUAACCAGCGAUGGUGUGCAAAUCUCAAAAACCUAUCUCAGUUCGGAUCGGAGUCUGCAACUCGACUCCGUGAAGUUGGAUUCGCUAGUAAUCGCGCAUCAGCCAUGGCGCGGUGAAUACGUUCCCGGGCCUUGUACACACCGCCCGUCAAGCCAUGGAAGCUGGGGGUGCCUGAAGUUCGUGACCGCAAGGAGCGACCUAGGGCAAAACUAGUAACUGGGGCUAAGUCGUAACAAGGUAACC
rnacentral:rRNA from 1 species